AGCAAACAUUAAUGUUUUACUGGCAUUUAAUUGGGGAUAUUAUGAGAUAUAGCGCAGAUACAUUGAAUGUAGAAAAAAAGUAUAAGGUGCAAGAAAAAAGCCAGGUAGCGUACACUAACGCCUUGAAAUAUGCAAAUAAACUGAAAAUGCCUUCAUCAAGCUCAGAAAAAUUAGAAGUUAUAAUUGGCUUAGCAGGUAGACAUAGACAUAUAUACAUAAUAUAUAUGUAUUUAUAUAUGUUCAUUAUGUACAUAUUUUUACAUACACGUAUGUAGAAACUUAUGGAACUCUUUUUAUAAAUACUAUUUUUUUUUUUUUUUUUUAUGGUUUUUAGUUUUAAACAAAGAUAUGGGUAAAGAUUUAAAUGUUUCUAUAGAGAUGGCAGCACAAGCCUUUAGGGAUGCAAUUCAAAACAUGCACCUUCUUGAGAAUGAUGACGAAUGCUCUAAAACAAUCGCUGUAUUAGCAGUACUAAGAGAUUAUAUAAAUAAGUGGUGUGAAAGUAAGUUUCGUAAUUUAUAUUACAUUUGUAUAUNNNNNNNNNNUUUUUUUUUUUUUAAUUUAUAGCAAACAUUAAUGUUUUACUGGCAUUUAAUUGGGGAUAUUAUGAGAUAUAGCGCAGAUACAUUGAAUGUAGAAAAAAAGUAUAAGGUGCAAGAAAAAAGCCAGGUAGCGUACACUAACGCCUUGAAAUAUGCAAAUAAACUGAAAAUGCCUUCAUCAAGCUCAGAAAAAUUAGAAGUUAUAAUUGGCUUAGCAGUUUUAAACAAAGAUAUGGGUAAAGAUUUAAAUGUUUCUAUAGAGAUGGCAGCACAAGCCUUUAGGGAUGCAAUUCAAAACAUGCACCUUCUUGAGUAAUAAAUAACAUGAAAUUAUUUAUUUUAAAAGAAUCUUUUAGAAAUAAUAAUUACACUUUUUAUUUUUUUUAUUUACUGUAUAUAAAAGCAUUAAUUGUGUU
rnacentral:lncRNA from 1 species